rnacentral:rRNA from 1 species
GCAAGUCGAGCGAGAAAGUACUUCGGUAGGAGUAGAGCGGCUGACGGGUGAGUGACGCGUAGGAAUCUACCGAGUAGAGUGGGACAACAUGGUGAAAACCAUGCUAAUACCGCAUACGCCCUACGGGGGAAAGGGGGCUCUUUGAGCUCUCGCUAUUUGAUGAGCCUGCGUAAGAUUAGCUUGUUGGUGAGGUAAAGGCUCACCAAGGCGACGAUCUUUAGCUGUUCUGAGAGGAUGAUC